rnacentral:other from 1 species
UAUUGACUGCCUUUACUCGUGAGGGGCUCAUUUAAGCCUACAAAGUAUUUAUGGAAUGCUGCGUUCUUCGUGCCGUUUGCAGACCUCCCGGGGCGAAAGCUGCGGACGUUGGGAGCAGUAACGCGCGGGACAGGCAAUCCACCUUGCAUAUUUGCCGGGUUACUUUCUGGGCCCCCACGGUUUUGGCGGUUAUAUU